rnacentral:rRNA from 1 species
CAAUAGCGUAUAUUAAAGUUGUUGCAGUUAAAAAGCUCGUAGUUGGACCUUGGACCUGGACAGGCGGUCCGCCUCACGGCGUGUACUGUCUUGCUGGGUCUUUCCUCUUGGUGAUCUGUUGUUUCGGCAGCAGGGAACCAGGACUUUUACUUUGAAAAAAUUAGAGUGUUCAAAGCAGGCUCGACGCCGGAAUAUAUUAGCAUGGAAUAAUAAAAUAGGACGUGCGGUUCUAUUUUGUUGGUUUUUGGAAUCGCCGUAAUGAUUAAUAGGGACAGUCGGGGGCAUUAGUACUCACAUGCUAGAGGUGAAAUUCUUGGAUUUUGUGAAGGCUAACUUCUGCGAAAGCAUUUGCCAAGGAUGUUUUCAUUAA